UACGUAGGGUGCGAGCGUUAAUCGGAAUUACUGGGCGUAAAGCGUGCGCAGGCGGUCUGUUAAGACCGAUGUGAAAUCCCCGGGCUUAACCUGGGAACUGCAUUGGUGACUGGCGGGCUUUGAGUGUGGCAGAGGGGGGGUAGAAUUCCACGUGUAGCAGUGAAAUGCGUAGAGAUGUGGAGGAAUACCGAUGGCGAAGGCAGCCCCCCUGGGCCAACACUGACGCUCAUGCACGAAAGCGUGGGGAGCAAACAGG
rnacentral:rRNA from 1 species